GACGAACGCUGGCGGCGUGCCUAAUACAUGCAAGUAGGACGCAGUUGCGAACGGGUGAGUAACGCGUAGGUAACUACCUAUUAGAGGGGGAUAACCAUUGGAAACGAUAGCUAAUACCGCAUACUAGUAGAUGGACCUGCGGUGUAUUAGCUAGUAGGGGGGGUAAUGGCCUACCUAGGCAACGAUACAUAGCCGACCUUGAGGGGUGAUCGGCCACAACUGGAAUUGGACAAGGGCCAGACUUCUACGGGGGGGCGCAGUAGGGAAACUGCGGCAAUGGGGGGAACCCUGACCGAGCAAAGCCGCGUGAGUGGAGAAGGUUUUCGGAUCGUAAAGCUCUGUUGUUAAGGAAGCGGUACUUAACCAGAAAGGGACGGCUAACUACGUGCCAGCAGCCGCGGUAAUAC
rnacentral:rRNA from 1 species